AGUCGUAACAAGGUAUCCGUAGGUGAACCUGCGGAUGGAUCAUUAUAGGGUGUUGGGUAAUUGUGAGUGGUUUUAUUAAUAGUUUGAGCGGUGUUGGUUGGGAUGCGAAGCAGGAUUGCGAAGCAGGAUUGCCAAGCAAGACAGCCAACAUUGCCAGCCAACAUUGCCUCACGUUAAACUCUAUAAAUCUAACAAUUACAUACAAAAAAAAACAACUUUUAGCAACGGAUCUCUUGGCUCUC
rnacentral:misc_RNA from 1 species